CUACAGUUUUGCACAAGGACUUGAUGAAGACAACGGAAAAGAUGGCUGAUGUGAUAAUUCAUGUUUCGGAUUUUAAAACUGAAAUCAAGUCUAUUUUCAUUUUUUUUUUACAGAUUUAAACUACAUAUAAUUUUCCAUAAACUUUUAUAAAAUCCAUUUUUUUGGCAAAUACAUUUAUUUAAUGUACGAACUAGAAAAGGUUCACAUUGGGGACCGGGUUAAAAGUGUUUAUUAACACAUUCAGAUCUGCUUUACUUAUUGUCUUAUAGAUAUAGUUAUCAAUUGUAACAUAACUGUCCCUUCAAUGUUGUAUAUAUGAAGUACUUUUUAUUGAUUUUAAUCGGUAUAUGGCUCAUUACUAUUGAUUUUGUAAAGAUGUUACAAUGAGUAAAUCAUUAUUGUUAGAUGUUUUCCAAAUUUUUAUGCCCCCCUUCGAAAAAGGGAGGGCAUAUUGCUUUGCUGCUGUCUGUCGGUCGGUCGGUCCACAAACAGUUUCCGUUCAUUUUCUUCGUAGAGGAUGAACAUAUUGAAAUGAAAUUUGGUAUACAGAUUUAUCAUGAUAAUAUCUAGGUCAAGUUCGAUAUUGGGUUCGAUCGAGCACUUUUUGACAGAGUUAUGGCCCAGUUUCCGCUCAUUUUCUACGCAGAGGAUGAACAUAUUGGAAUGAAAUUUGGUAUUCAGGUUUAGCAUGAUAAUAUCUAGGUCAAGUUCGAUAUUGGGUACGAUCGAGCAAUUUUCGACAGAGUUAUGGCCCUUGGACGUAGAAAAAUUCUAGUAAUAUUUGCAGUUUCCGCUCAUUUUCUUCGCAGAGGAUGACCAUACUGGAAUAAAAUUUGGUAUUCAGGUUUAUCAUGAUAAUAUCUAGGUCAAGUUCGAUAUUGGGUACGAUCGAGCAAUUUUUGACAGAGUUAUGGCCCUUGGACGUAGAAAAAUUCUAGUUAAUAUUUGCAGUUUCCGCUCAUUUUCUUCGCAGAGGAUGAACAUAUUGGAAGGAGAUUUGGUAUACAGGUUUAUCAUGAUAAUAUCUAAGUCAAGUUUGAUAUCGGGUACGAUUGAGCAAUUUUCGACAGAGUUAUGGCCCUUGGACGUAGAAAAAUUCCAGUUAUUUGCCGUUUCCGUUUAUUUUCUUGUGGAUGUUUCCAAGGGAGGGGGGCAUAAGUGUUUUACAAACAUCUCUUGUUAUUAUCAACUUCAUUCCGGACUUCAAAUAUAACAUUUUACCAUUAUAAAUUGAAAUUCUCACAUCAUGCAUUUUCUACGAAUAACAAAUGAGAUAAAAUGCAUAUCACUAAGAGUGUAUACUAUUUCAAGUCUGACACCGUGUUUUAAAGAAGUUUGUGUUAUUGCUUUUGACCCAUGAGAAUCAAAACUAACAAAAAUACAAUGUGCAAGGAAAGUGUUGUGAACUUUUCAUGUUAUAACCAAACACAAAUUAAAUCCCUAGCCUGUCGUUUGAACUCUGCAAGAUACUCCUUUUUUGGAAAAAAACUUCCUUCUACAUUUACUCAAACUUUAUUGAAAUCCCUUAUUUUAAAGAGGUUAGUAAAUCUGGUUUAGUGGAAAAGAAUCAAAAAUUCCUAAACGAAUGCAGAAAAAAGAAAUGUGUAAAA
rnacentral:misc_RNA from 1 species